rnacentral:tRNA from 1 species
GCGGGAGUAGCUCAGUGGUAGAGCGUCUCCUUCCCAAGGAGAAGGCCGCGAGUUCAAUCCUCGUCUCCCGCU